AGAGUUUGAUCAUGGCUCAGAACGAACGCUGGCGGCGUGCCUAAGACAUGCAAGUCGUACGGAAAGGCCCCCUUCGGGGGGCACUCGAGUGGCGCACGGGUGAGUAACGCGUGGGUAAUCUGCCUUAGGGUCUAGGACAACCCCGGGAAACUGGGGCUAAUACUGGAUAAGACCACGAGCUCUUCGGAGCUUGCGGAAAAAGAUGGCCUCUCCUUGGAAGCUAUCGCCCUUCGAUGAGCCCGCGUCCCAUUAGCUAGUUGGUGAGGUGACGGCUCACCAAGGCUUUGAUGGGUAGCUGGUCUGAGAGGAUGAUCAGCCACACUGGAACUGAGACACGGUCCAGACUCCUACGGGAGGCAGCAGUCGGGAAUUUUGGGCAAUGGGCGAAAGCCUGACCCAGCAACGCCGCGUGAGGGAUGAAGGCCUUCGGGUCGUAAACCUCUGUCGGGAGGGAAGAACGGUUCACGUUCAAACAGGACGGGAGCCUGACGGUACCUCCAAAGGAAGCACCGGCUAACUCCGUGCCAGCAGCCGCGGUAAUACGGAGGGUGCAAGCGUUGUUCGGAAUCAUUGGGCGUAAAGCGCGUGUAGGCGGCUUGGCAAGUCGGUUGUGAAAGCCCGGGGCCCAACCCCGGAACUGCAUCUGAAACUGCCUGGCUAGAGUCCCGGAGAGGAAGGCAGAAUUCCCGGUGUAGGGGUGAAAUCCGUAGAUAUCGGGAGGAAUACCAGCGGCGAAGGCGGCCUUCUGGACGGUGACUGACGCUGAGACGCGAAAGCGUGGGGAGCAAACAGGAUUAGAUACCCUAGUAGUCC
rnacentral:rRNA from 1 species